ACGUGAGUUGGGUCCGGGCCUGUAUUGGGGCUCAGCGAGUUUGGCAGAGCUCAGGAGGGUUUGCCGGACGUCCUUAAGAGUGCAAAG
rnacentral:ncRNA from 2 species